rnacentral:tRNA from 1 species
GGUGAGAUGGCCGAGCGGUCUAAGGCGCCAGACUAAGGAUCAGGGCAUUUGAUGUCUAAUUUGUAAGCAACAGCUUACGUAAUCUGGUCCGAAAGGGCGUGGGUUCGAAUCCCACUCUCAUCA